AAAACCAGGAAGUGCUGCGUGUCCCUCCCUAUCAGAGGUAAUCAAGGUGGUUCACACAUGAAGCUCCUUCUGUAUUCCUGCCGACCUUUGAGCCUCUCCCCUUUGUCCGCACGGAGAAAGCUAUCUUGACAGAAGCAGAUAAGCAUCGACCAGACGCUCUAAAACACAAAAAAGAGACGUCUGCACUCUGGGCGUCAGUCAUCUGCUCACCAGGGGACGGGAAUUACAGGAAAUAGUGCGAUUAACUGUUGGCACGCACUCUGCACAUAAAGAACAUAUGUGGGACUGCUGUAUCUGUGGUAACCUCUUUAAUGUGAUAGAAAAACAUUCAGACUUUGGCAGCAGAAAUGUGCUUUUGGCAGUUUUUGAUAUUCUUUUUAAAUUAGGUUUGGUUUUCCAACAUUAAAGCAAAAACAAAUUAUUAUGAAUAUGCACUUUUACAAGAUUCUUUCCACUGUGGUCGUCCAAAAUAGACUUUAUAAAGGAAUUACAUGCUUUCAUGAAGGCUUUUAUGCAUUCAAUAUGGGUGACGGUUACAAAGACAUGAGCUGUUUCUGCCUCUGAGAGCUUGUAAAGGGUAACAAAGCAUACACAAGGUAACACUAGAUGCUAUGAUCUUACUGUAGCCUGACCUCUGGGGCGCCACAAACAGCCCAGCAACACCUCUGACUCUAUAAAUAUGUAAAACCGUUGGCAUGUUCCAGGGCUCCUGUUGAGCUCUGAGCCUGUGAAUCAUUCAGCCACCCCUCCUCCCUCCUGCAGUGGUGCCCUUGUUGGCCUCUUUGGGGAACAGUGAGAGUAAACAAUGUAAAUAAGUCAUGAUGAGCAAGGCUGGUUGGCACUCGCUCACACAGUUUGAAACAUUGCUGCAGUCAGUUCAGCCCUCUGUGCUAGAGACUGAUCAGGUGAGAGCACUGCUUUUUAUAAAUGUACUAAUUAGCCUCUUUUUUUAAAUAAUAAAUACAUUCACUUAGAUUUUACAAACAUGUUACAUUGUUUAACAACAUCAAUUUUAAAACCUUGUAAAAUUUGUUUACUUACUUAAAUCACA